rnacentral:rRNA from 1 species
UUGACCUCAGCUCAGUCGUGAUUACCCGCUGAAUUUAAGCAUAUAACUAAGCGGAGGAAAAGAAACUAACGAGGACUCCCCCAGUAACGGCGAGUGAACGGGGAAAAGCCCAGCGCUGAAUCCAUUAGUCACUGGCUAUAUGGAAUUGUAGCGUAUAGGUGUAACUAUUCGGUUGUUUCGUUCACCCAAAGUCCCCUUGAGCGGGGCUAUAGUCCAAAGAAGGUGCUAGACCUGUACGGGUGAUGAAGCAAUCGAUGGGUUACUCCUUGGAGUCGGGUUGCCUGAGAUCGCAGCCCAAAGAGGGUGGUAAACCUCAUCUAAGGCUACAUAUGAUCACGAGACCGAUAGCAAACAAGUACCGUGAGGGAAAGUUGCAAAGAACUUUGAAGAGAGAGUUCAAGAGGGCGUGAAACCGCUGAGAAGGAAACGGAUAGAGUUAACGAAAUUUGGCGGCACUCAGCCGGUUGGCUUAGCGGCGUCGCGGUUUCGAGCCUCGAUGAGGGCGAGAACGUGACUAGCUGUUGAGUGCAUGAGACUGGUGUAUUGUCCGUCGGUAUGCGCCGAGAAUUUUGCUGUCGUGCGCUAAUGCUCUUUGAAGAGGACCACACCUUACGGGUGUGGAACCCUGCAUGAGUUGAGGCGUAUCGGUAGUAAAAGCUGUCUGUGCUAUCUCCGCUGUAGUGCAACGGUUGACAUGUGGCUAGUGUGGCUAUUGGGCGGUCGCAUGCGACUUGCUUAUGGUCAUUGCUGGUUCAUGGCAGUGCAGUUGCGCUGAGAUUAGCCUCUCGGUGUGAAAGUUGACCACCUAUCCGACCCGUCUUGAAACACGGACCAAGGAGUCUAGCAUAUGCGCGAGUCAUUGGGUGGUAAACCUAAAGGCGUAAUGAAAGUAAAGGUUGUCUUGAUACGACUGAUAUGGGAUCCGAAUGCUUUCAUGCAUCACGGCGCACCAUAGCCCCGUCCCCGUUGCUUGCAAUAGGGCGGAGGAAGAGCGCAUACGCUGGGACCCGAAAGAUGGUGAACUAUGCCUGAGCAGGAUGAAGCCAGAGGAAACUCUGGUGGAGGUCAGAAGCGGUUCUGACGUGCAAAUCGAUCGUCUGACUUGGGUAUAGGGGCGAAAGACUAAUCGAACCAUCUAGUAGCUGGUUCCCUCU